CCUACGGGAGGCAGCAGUAGGGAAUAUUGCUCAAUGGGGGAAACCCUGAAGCAGCAACGCCGCGUGGAGGAUGAAGGUUUUCGGAUUGUAAACUCCUUUUGUUAGAGAAGAUAAUGACGGUCUCUAACGCAUAAGCACCGGCUAUUUCCGUGCCAGCAGCCGCGGUACUACGGAGGGUGCACGCGUUACUCGGAAUAUCUGGGCGUAAAGAGCGCGUAGGCGGGAUAGCAAGUCAGAUGUGAAAUCCUAUGGCUUAACCAUAGAACUGCAUUUGAAACUGGUAUUCUAGAGUAUGGGAGAGGUAGGUGGAAUUCGUGGUGUAGGGGUAAAAUGCGUAGAGAUCAAGAGGAAUACUCAUUGCGAAGGCGACCUGCUAGAACAUAACUGACGCUGAUGCGCGAAAGCGUGGGGAGCAAACAGGAUUAGAUACCCCAGUAGUC
rnacentral:rRNA from 1 species